AGGGCUGUAGGUAAAUGGUAUACCAGCGGUCUCCAAAACCGUUAUUGGGGGUUCGAUUCCCUCCAGCCCUG
rnacentral:tRNA from 1 species